UACGAAGGGGGCUAGCGUUGUUCGGAAUUACUGGGCGUAAAGGGCUCGUAGGCGGCCAACUAAGUCGGAUGUGAAAUCCCCAGGCUUAACCUGGGAACUGCAUCCGAUACUGGAUGGCUUGAAUCCGGGAGAGGGAUGCAGAAUUCCAGGUGUAGCGGUGAAAUGCGUAGAUAUCUGGAGGAAUACCGGUGGCGAAGGCGGCAUCCUGGACCGGCAUUGACGCUGAUGAGCGAAAAGCUAGGGGAGCAAACGGGG
rnacentral:rRNA from 1 species